rnacentral:rRNA from 1 species
CUUUAAAGAAAGCGUAAUAGCUCACUAGUCGAGUCGGCCUGCGCGGAAGAUGUAACGGGGCUCAAACCAUGCACCGAAGCUACGGGUAUCAUCGUAUGAUGAUGCGGUAGAGGAGCGUUCUGUAAGCCUGUGAAGGUGAGUUGAGAAGCUUGCUGGAGGUAUCAGAAGUGCGAAUGCUGACAUGAGUAACGACAAUGCGAGUGAAAAACUCGCACGCCGAAAGACCAAGGUUUCCUGCGCAACGUUAAUCGACGCAGGGUUAGUCGGUCCCUAAGGCGAGGCUGAAAAGCGUAGUCGAUGGAAAACAGGUUAAUAUUCCUGUACUUCCAGUUAUUGCGAUGGAGGGACGGAGAAGGUUAGGCCAGCCUGGCGUUGGUUGUCCAGGUUUAAGGUGGUAGGCUGAAAUCUUAGGCAAAUCCGGGAUUUCAAGGCCGAGAGCUGAUGACGAGUUGCCUUCAGGCGACGAAGUGGUUGAUACCAUGCUUCCAAGAAAAGCUCCUAAGCUUCAGAUAACUGGGAACCGUACCCCAAACCGACACAGGUGGUUAGGUAGAG